GACGAACGCUGGCGGCGUGCCUAAUACAUGCAAGUAGAACGAGUUGCGAACGGGUGAGUAACACGUGAUAACCUGCCUGAUGGAGGGGGAUAACUACUGGAAACGGUAGCUAAUACCGAAUACCAUCAGAUGUGCCCAGAUGGGAUUAGCUAGUUGGUGAGGUAACGGCUCACCAAGGCGACGAUCCAUAGCUGGUCUGAGAGGAUGACCAGCCACACUGGAACUGAGAAACGGUCCAGACUCCUACGGGAGGCAGCAGUGGGGAAUAGUGCACAAUGGGCGAAAGCCUGAUGAAGCCAUGCCGCGUGUAUGAAGAAGGCCUUCGGGUUGUAAAAGUCUGUCAGUAGGGAGGCGUUACCCGCACAAGAAGCACCGGCUAACUCCGUGCCAGCAGCCGCGGUAAUAC
rnacentral:rRNA from 1 species